UGGGGAAUAUUGCACAAUGGGCGCAAGCCUGAUGCAGCAACGCCGCGUGAGGGACGACGGCCUUCGGGUUGUAAACCUCUUUUAGUAGGGAAGAAGCGAAAGUGACGGUACCUGCAGAAAAAGCACCGGCUAACUACGUGCCAGCAGCCGCGGUAAUACGUAGGGUGCGAGCGUUGUCCGGAAUUAUUGGGCGUAAAGAGCUCGUAGGCGGUCUGUCGCGUCUGCUGUGAAAACCCGAGGCUCAACCUCGGGCCUGCAGUGGGUACGGGCAGACUAGAGUGCGGUAGGGGAGAAUGGAAUUCCUGGUGUAGCGGUGGAAUGCGCAGAUAUCAGGAGGAACACCGAUGGCGAAGGCAGUUCUCUGGGCCGUAACUGACGCUGAGGAGCGAAAGCGUGGGGAGCGAACAGGAUUAGAUACCCUGGUAGUCCACGCCGUAAACGUUGGGCGCUAGAUGUGGGGACCAUUCCACGGUUUCCGUGUCGCAGCUAACGCAUUAAGCGCCCCGCCUGGGGAGUACGGCCG
rnacentral:rRNA from 1 species